GAUGAACGCUGGCGGCGUGCUUAACACAUGCAAGUCGAACGAGAAGUGAAGACGGAACCCUUCGGGCGGAAGGCUUUAUUUCGAGUGGCGGACGGGUGAGUAACGCGUGGGUAACCUGCCUCAUACAGGGGGAUAACAGUUGGAAACGACUGUUAAUACCGCAUAAGACCACAGCACCGCAUGGUGCGGGGGUAAAAACUCCGGUGGUAUGAGAUGGACCCGCGUUCGAUUAGCCAGUUGGCGGGGUAACGGCCCACCAAAGCGACGAUCGAUAGCCGAUCUGAGAGGAUGACCGGCCACAUUGGGACUGAGACACGGCCCAAACUCCUACGGGAGGCAGCAGUGGGGAAUAUUGCACAAUGGGGGAAACCCUGAUGCAGCGACGCCGCGUGAGUGAAGAAGUAUUUCGGUAUGUAAAGCUUUAUCAGCAGGGAAGAAAAUGACGGUACCUGAGUAAGAAGCCCCGGCUAACUACGUG
rnacentral:rRNA from 1 species